rnacentral:lncRNA from 1 species
CUAUUUAUGUAUCAAGGGCAUUGUAAGGACGAUAAUGCCCGGAAGGUGGAAAUAGUAAGCUAGGUUUCCGCCUGAUGGGCAUUAGAGUCUAACAAUGCCCGUGGUGCAUACAAUGCUUUAUGUUUUACCUAAAAAUUGAUUUUUAUGAACAAAAAUAAUUUUAAUAUUAAUUAAAAAAUAGGUUCUACCUGUACAGGUAGAUAUACGUACAUACCUACCUACAGAAAUUUAUCAAGUGACUUGCAGUGAUUAUUUAAGUUUGACUUUGAUGUUUCUGUCAGUUAGUCAGUUGGCAUUUUUUGUUUAAAUAUUUGCUUAAAAUGGAAGAAAUUCCAGAAAAUAUAAGAGAAAAGGCCAUACAAGCGACCGAAAAUCUUUUGCCAGUUAAAUCAAGGCAACAUUAUGAUCGGGAGUAUGGCAUAUUUGGUAUUUGGAAAGAUGCCAACGCAAUUGUUCAAAUAACCGAAACCGUUCUAAUAGCAUAUUUUCAGGGACUGUCGGAAAAAUACAGUCCGAACUCUCUCUGGACCAAGUAUUCUACCCUAAAGUCUAUGUUAAUGGUCUAUAAAAAUAUAGACAUCUCGCAAUACCAUCGUCUCAUAUCUUUUUUAAAAGUUAAGUCGAAAGGAAAUGUCCCGAAGAAGUCUAAAGUUUUGGAAGGAGAACAAAUAAUAAAAUUUAUUAAGAAGGCUCCUGAUGAUAUUUACAUGGUACACAAAGUCAUAUUGGUAAUGGGUGUUUUUGGAGGUUUAAGACGAGAUGAGUUGGUCAAAAUGACCAUUGAUGAUAUUGAAGAUAGAGGAACGGUCUUAGUUAUAAAGGUACCAGAAACUAAAACUUCAACUUCAAAAAGUUUUACUAUCAUUGAAGAAGAUUUAGGCGCUUUAAAUUUAAUAAAAAAGUACGCAGCAUUUAAAGAAACAUUAUUUUUUGUAUAAAAUGGAUGUUUAUUCUUUAUUAUGAGAGAAAAAAAAUUGGAUAAGCAAUAAAAUUUCCGGGCAUUAUCAUAAUGCUUGCUUAUAAUGCCCUAGGUGUGAUAGCAGGUAUUAUUGCUACCAUAACAUAUUCCGUUUCUAAGGUAUUAUAAAUCAAAUAAUUGAUAGGUAAAACAUAAAAAUAUAAACUGACUGAGAUAUUAAGGGCUAGUCUAGCUUAUGGAUAGACCCUUAUGAAAUGGAGGCCAGUAAGGGUUGCUUUUAUACUCAAGUCCGGAAAAACUGAAUAUUCUCAAGCCAAAUCUUUCAGACCGAGAAGUCUUAUGUCAUUUCUUCUGAAGAUACUAAAAGAACUACUCGACAGACACAUUAGCGAUGGAGCAUUGAUUGAAAACCUUCUGCUGCAAAAUCAAUGUGCUUACACCGCAUGCCAAUCAACAGAAACGGCGCUGCAUAGACUCAUAACUAUGCUAGAGAAGACUCUGAAAAUCAGCUACUAGCCAGUUACUAGCUGCCUUCCUGGAUACCGAAGGAGCAGGCAAUACACCAUUCGAGUCUAUUACAAACACCGCAGGAGAACUUGUACUAUCUCGCGUCUAUACGCGAGAUCAUGCACGUGGAGAGACAGAUAACAGUCAGGCUAACUUGACAAGACACAAAGGAAUAUUAAGAAUCUGUGAGGCAAACAAAUCAGAAAUGAUUUCCGAUCACAUGAUUCCAAAGUAUUGCUUCCGCAUACCUUUUAAGAAACAAGAAAAGAUUGGAAUGACAGCAACCGCAGACCAGACGGAGAUCUUAAUUAGUACACAGAUAAAUGCAAGACCAACAAAGGAACGGGAGCUGGAAUUGUUGGAGAAAAACUUAAGCCUCAAACGUCUCAUCCGCUUGAAAGACAUGCCUUAGUUUUUAAGACAGAAAUAUUUGUGAUAGUAGAAUGUGCUAGGAAAAACAUUGGGAGAGCAGACACUAAUAAGCAGAUCCUAAUAAUAACAGAUAGCCAAGCCGUCCUAAGAGUCCUAUCGAAACUUAGAAUUAUAUCAAAGCUGUUUUGGAAAUGCCUCAUAGAAACUGAAAACGGGCAUUUCCGAGUAUGCGAAAAGAAACGGUCCGACAUAUCAUUUGAAACUGUAAGGCUAUGUGCUGAAAAAGGCAAUAAAUAUUUGGGACAUACUGGAUCCAGAAGCACAGCAACAAAAAACUUGUAUCAAGUGGUAAAGGGCAACAAGGUGCUAGGCUGGGUAGUAUCGACUAUUAAUAAUUGAUAAAGUUAAUGUCGACUUGAUAUUUUUAAAUAUGACCAGACAUAAACAAAUUAACAUUGAACUGUCAUUGGCCCGUUUAUAAUUUUAGGCCUCUUUGACUUAUUAUUUAGAAUAUGCACGAUGUUUAUGUCUGGCUCUUGGUUUUGACUAUAAAGACUAUCACAGAAUUAAAAUAUAUUUGCAUAUUUACUAGUACUAUUAAUCCAUUAGUACUUUGCGAAUUUUGCGACGAGAAAUAAUCAACUGCACGUGUAUUUAAAUUAAAGACGUUGGGUUAAACAAUUUUUCUUUACUAAGAAGCUUAGAAAAUUUUUUAAAUAUCAAAUACUUGCUGUAAUUAAAUAUUUAAAUAAUUUUUGAUUAUGA